rnacentral:lncRNA from 1 species
GGAGGAGGAGGAGGAGGAGGAGGAGGAGGAGGAGGAAGGAAGAAGGAAGAAGAAGAAGAAGAAGAAGAAGAAGAAGAAGAAGAAGAAGAAGAAGAAGAAGAAGAAGAAGAAGAAGAAGAAGAAGAGAAAAAGAAAAAAAGAAAAAAAAAGAUAGUUGUAGUUGGUACAAUCAUCAAGGCACACACACAAAACCCACUGUAGAGUCGGUUGGUCUCUAGCUCUAUGUAGUUGGGGAUGACCACAAACUUCUGAUCUUCUUGAUUCCACCCCCUCCCAACGUUGGAAGUAGGAGCCUGCUUUACCAGGCCUGAGUUAUUCAGGCGGAACCCAUGGCGUCAUGCAUUCGAGUGUUUUGCAUUUUUCUGUUUGUGCACUCCCCGUGGAGGCCAGAAGAGGACCUCAGAUCUCCACGGAACUGGAAUUAUAGACCCUAGGCCUCAGCUCUGCCUCCUGCGUGCCAGGACUGAAGCAUGAGCUUCCUCCCUGACCUCUCA